rfam:Schistosoma curassoni strain Dakar, Senegal genome assembly, scaffold: SCTD_scaffold0001201
AUUCAGCCGACGAGUUCCAAAAAGGACAAAACGCGCGUCAUGGAU